AGCCCCCCCCCCCCCCACACACACACACAAACAAAGAGGCGUUAGGCUGAGACGCUGAAAGUCCGGAUUUAAAGUGCAGAAAAUGAAGCCAUUGAAUCUGCCUGUCCAUGACGUACAAAGACACACUAUGAGCCAGUAUGAUCCGACCAGACCUUACAUCAGCAUUGAGGAGUUGUCGGAGAAGAAAGAGGCUGAUUGAAGCGGGACAGAUGACAUGGAUCCAUCCUUCCACAGCCAGGAGUGCACCGACCUGUGUCCCACACUUCAUAUAAGACUGGAAGCUACACUGAUCUCACAGCUACACACCACAGACGUCUACACACUGGAGAAGAGUCCCACAAAGAAGUCAUGACCCAGAGGCUGCAGAGAAACAUUUCAAGCCUCAUCUGAGUUUUUGUACAAUAUUUUUGCUGUAUGUAAAUAAAGCUUUCACUCCACAUA